rnacentral:lncRNA from 1 species
UUUUAAGAGACACGGCAGAUAGGUGUUUCAAACCGAAAUGAACCUGCAAAUCAAUACCAGCUGGCAGGUGGCGACAAACAUACCAGAGAACUAUGUUGGUUUCCUCCAAGGAUCUAUCCUUCUUGACCCAUGUAGCUAGACCCUCAUGGAUGCGCGGGUUCUGAUUAGGAAAUUCUCCUCCAGGGAAUAUCUCAUCCCUUUUGUAUGAUGUAACCCAAAGAUUAUGCUUUAGGUUUCAAAAAAAAAAAAAGAUUAUGCUUUAGAAAUCCAGCUCUUCUCAGGAACUUUGCCUCUGGCAGGCAGAAUGGCAGACAAUUUGAACCAGGUAUGAGCUUGUAACCUGUUGGCUGCCCAGUACGAUUUACUGUCCUUGUGUUCCUUACCU